UCCACCCAAGAUAAGUAUCAUUUCCAUUCUCAAGUCAAAUAUUUCUUUUGGGAUGAUCCUUAUCUCUUUAAGACUUGUCCUAGUCAGGUAAUCAGAAGAUGUGUGCCCGAUCAUGAGCAACACUCGAUUUUAUCCUUUUGCCAUGAUCAGGCCUGUGGAGGCCAUUUGGGCCCAAUAAGACUGCGGCCAAAGUAUUACAGUGCAGAUUUUACUGGCCCAACCUGUUCAGGGAUGCAUUCAAUUACUAUAAGGCAUGUCCUUUAUGUCAGUAUUUAGGGAAGAUCACUAGAAGGAACAUGAUGCCACUCAACCCAAUCCUGGUAGUUGAGGUGUUUGACGUAUGGGGAAUUGAUUUCAUGGGCCCUUUCCCAAAGUCUUUUGGGAAUGAAUAUAUCUUAUUGGCUGUGGACUACGUGUCCAAAUGGAUUGAGGCCCAUGCUUAUAGGACCAAUGACCACAAGGUGGUCAUUCAAUUCUUAAAAGAGAACAUCUUCUCCAAAUUUGGUACCCCUAGAGCUAUCAUUAGUUGUAGGGGCAAGCACUUUUGCAAUAGGCCUUUUGAGUCCUUGGUUAAGAAGUAUAGGAUAACCCAUAAACUUACCACCCCCUACCACCCUCAGACCAGUGGAUAGGUUGAAGUAUCCAAUAGACAGAUUAAGCAGAUUCUAGAGAAAAUGGUUAACCCAAUCGCAAGGAUUGGUCCAACCGACUAUUAGAUGCGUUGUGGGCUUAUAGGAUUGCUUACAAGACCGCUCUUGGUCAAUCCCCGUACCGUCUAAUAUACAGGAAAGCCUUCCAUCUUCCAGUUGAAUUGGAACACUAUGCCUUUGGGGCUAUUAAGCAGCUCAAUUCUGAUCUGUCUGAGGCUAGUACUA